UUCUAACCAAGACAAGUCUUCUAUGCCGAGUUAUGUGCCAUGGUUAAGAAGGAAUGGGACUCUGACACUUGGAAUGGGGGACAUCUGGAUUGAUGUCCCUAAAAAUCUUAUAUCCCCAGAUUCCCCUGAGCCCCUUGAGAAGUGUCCUACUCCUCCCUAUUAAGGGCUGGCACUCCAUCUUGCUUCAAUAUAUGGAAUCCUUUCCCCUGUAAGAUAACCUGGGUUUUCCUCAGAAUCUGCCCGCACCUCCUAUCCUGGCCACUGGGCCUAUAACUAGGGUUAAGCCACGCAUAAUCUAGCUGGUGAUGUGCUGGGUGUAAUAAGGAAAGAAAGAGAAUACACCAACAAAGAGUUUCGGGACAUAACCUAGCCAGCAUAUACUAGAAGGUGCUGAGGGAGUAAGUAUGGCAUCAAAUUCUAAGGAGCUUGAUCAGGAGGGCUGGAAUAUAAACUGGAAUAUGGGAGAAUUAAUCAAUUUGAAAGUGCUUUCCCAGAAUACAGGAUUUAAUACCCUGGAGAAAACCACAGGAAAUGACACGAACUCAUUACUGCGAUGGCUCCUCGAAGUAUGGAAAAAGCCAUGGCGUACAUAAAGUGAGGUGUAAAUGCCAGAGUUGCCAUAGAAGAUGGCGGGAAAAGGGAUCAAAGACUCAGAGAGACAUAAAGGAGAAGAUUUGGGAGAGGGAGAGGAUUAAUCCUGAUUUGAACUCUUCGAAUUUGAAGUGCUUAUGUACUAUGAUUUGAAUAUGGUUUAUCCCCAUCCAAAGUCAUGUUGAGGAUGGGUUCCCAAUGUGACAGUGUUGGGAGGUGGUACCCUUAAGAGGCAUUUGUGUCAAACAGAACAUAUCUUCCAGUAGCUUCCUGAGAAAGUGUAUAUGCAAAGCACACUUCUGAGAUCUUUCAUAGAUGGUUUUGCCACAUUGCCCAGGAUGGCCUUGAACUCCUGGGCUCAAGUGAUCCACUUGCCUUGGCCCCCCAAAGUGCUGGGAUUACAGGUAU
rnacentral:lncRNA from 10 species